GAGUUGUGACCAAGUGACAUUAGC
rnacentral:siRNA from 1 species